rnacentral:rRNA from 1 species
GACAGAGGGUGCAAACGUUGCUCGGAAUCACUGGGCGUAAAGGGCGUGUAGGCGGGAAGGAAAGUCGGGCGUGAAAUCCCUGGGCUCAACCCAGGAACUGCACUCGAAACUUCUUUUCUUGAGUGCCGGAGAGGAAAGCGGAAUACCUGGUGUAGAGGUGAAAUUCGUAGAUAUCAGGUGGAACACCAGUGGCGAAGGCGGCUUUCUGGACGGUAACUGACGCGUG